UAUGGUCAUUCAUACGUUGAUAUUUCUGGGGCAUCCCGUUGCCCGAAACCAGUAUACGUGACAGGAUGCUGUUUUCAUGUAUAUUACAUUGACCUUUGGGCGUUAUUUCAUGGAUAUACUGACCUAUACAAGCAGCAAGGGCAACAUCCGGCAGUGGUGUGUAUGAAUUCACAUUCUUUAAGGAAGAAUGCCACACAUCAUGGACGCUAUGAAAUCCAGGCAUUCGGGUCACUGAGGACGCGGACGAACCUGAAAUAGACUUACUCCAUGUAUCGAAAUGAUGAAAUUCAAUACACUGCCAAA